rnacentral:sRNA from 1 species
UAAUAGGAAUAGAAAAAGGGCAGUUGCUUGCAACAACUACCCAAUGUAAAACCGUUAAAGACGGUGACAGAAAAUAACUGUUAACUGAACU